UACGAAGGGGGCUAGCGUUGUUCGGAAUUAUUGGGCGUAAAGGGAGCGUAGGCGGUUUUGUAAGUCGUGUGUGAAAUCUUCAGGCUCAACCUGAAGUCUGCACACGAAACUGCAGGGCUUGAGUAUGGGAGAGGUGAGUGGAAUUCCUGGUGUAGCGGUGAAAUGCGUAGAUAUCAGGAGGAACACCUGUGGCGAAAGCGGCUCACUGGACCAUUACUGACGCUGAGGCUCGAAAGCUAGGGGAGCAAACAGG
rnacentral:rRNA from 1 species